AGAGUUUGAUCAUGGCUCAGGACGAACGCUGGCGGCGUGCCUAAUACAUGCAAGUAGAACGCUGAAGACUGGUGCUUGCACUAGUCAGAUGAGUUGCGAACGGGUGAGUAACGCGUAGGUAACCUACCUUAUAGCGGGGGAUAACUAUUGGAAACGAUAGCUAAUACCGCAUGACAAUUAAGUACUCAUGUACUAAAUUUAAAAGGAGCAAUUGCUUCACUAUGAGAUGGACCUGCGUUGUAUUAGCUAGUUGGUGAGGUAACGGCUCACCAAGGCCACGAUACAUAGCCGACCUGAGAGGGUGAUCGGCCACACUGGGACUGAGACACGGCCCAGACUCCUACGGGAGGCAGCAGUAGGGAAUCUUCGGCAAUGGGGGCAACCCUGACCGAGCAACGCCGCGUGAGUGAAGAAGGUUUUCGGAUCGUAAAGCUCUGUUGUUAGAGAAGAACGGUAAUGGGAGUGGAAAAUCCAUUACGUGACGGUAACUAACCAGAAAGGGACGGCUAACUACGUGCCAGCAGCCGCGGUAAUACGUAGGUCUCGAGCGUUGUCCGGAUUUAUUGGGCGUAAAGCGAGCGCAGGCGGUUAUUUAAGUCUGAAGUUAAAGGCCGUGGCUCAACCAUGGUUCGCUUUGGAAACUGGAUAACUUGAGUGCAGAAGGGGAGAGUGGAAUUCCAUGUGUAGCGGUGAAAUGCGUAGAUAUAUGGAGGAACACCGGUGGCGAAAGCGGCUCUCUGGUCUGUAACUGACGCUGAGGCUCGAAAGCGUGGGGAGCAAACAGGAUUAGAUACCCUGGUAGUCC
rnacentral:rRNA from 1 species